rnacentral:rRNA from 1 species
AAAAAGAACCUGAAACCGUGUACGUACAAGCAGUGGGAGCACCUUCGGGUGUGACUGCGUACCUUUUGUAUAAUGGGUCAGCGACUUAUAUUCUGUAGCAAGGUUAACCGUAUAGGGGAGCCGCAGGGAAACCGAGUCUUAACUGGGCGUUAAGUUGCAGGGUAUAGACCCGAAACCCGGUGAUCUAGCCAUGGGCAGGUUGAAGGUUGGGUAACACUAACUGGAGGACCGAACCGACUAAUGUUGAAAAAUUAGCGGAUGACUUGUGGCUGGGGGGUGAAAGGCCAAUCAAACCGGGAGAUAGCUGGUUCUCCCCGAAAGCUAUUUAGGUAGCGCCUCGUGAAUUCAUCUUCGGGGGUAGAGCACUGUUUCGGCUAGGGGGUCAUCCCGACUUACCAACCCGAUGCAAACUACGAAUACCGAAGAAUGUUAUCACGGGAGACACACGGCGGGUGCUAACGUCCGUCGUGAAGAGGG